CCAGAUGGAAUUCCCGAAGAAAUGCUUAGAAGGACUACAUAACUACAUACAGGAAUUAUCAGAUUAGAUUUCUGGAAGAAUUCCCAUCAUGAGUUCCUAGAAGAAUCCGUAGAUGAUAUUCCUGGAGUAAUCCACAGAAUUCCCAGAUGGAAUCUCUAGAAGACGUGCCCGGAUCUCUAGUGUAAUUCACAAAUGGAAUUGCCGCAACCCCACUGAAGUGAUGCUUUUCCAACUCAAAAAAGCCGGAUAAUCAAGUCGGACCUGUAGUACUACUACCAGGAUUAGGAAUUAGUUUGUGCGUCCAUGUCAAAUAGGGUGCAUCCAAUUGAAACAAAUGUGAUCAAUUUGCCGAGGGCUAAAACAAUGGGAAUUCAUAUGUAUUGGAAAUAACUUUAUAAAACCUGCUCAAUCAUUACACUUUUAUUGACACUGCUUCUUCUGUUAUUGGGCUA